ensembl:lncRNA
GAAAUCUGGACAAUCUGAAAUCCUGGAAGCAAAAACACACAAGCAAAUACUUAAAUAAAUAAAUAAGGCACACACACACACACAAAAAAAAAAAAAAAAAAAAAAAUGCAUAAAUAAUUUUUUUUAAAACGUUGUUUUAGCACAGAUGGAACUGGAUUUCACACACUUUAAAAUGUAACUCACAUUAUUAAUAAUCAAUCAAUCAAACAAACAAACAAAAAAGGAAAUAAAUAAAUAGCCUACAUAGAUAAACAGAUUGAUAGAUUGAUUGAAAGACAGACAGACAGAUAGAUAGAUAGAUAGAUAGAUAGAUAGAUAGAUAGACAGACAGACAGUUAGAUAGAUAGAUAGACAGACAGACAGACAGAUAGAUAGACAGACAGACAGACAGACAGACAGAUAGAUAGAUAGAUAGAUAGAUAGAUAGAUAGAUAGAUAGAUAGGUAGACAGACAGACAGACAGACAGACAGACAGACAGACAGACAGAUAGAUAGACAGACAGAUAGAUAGAUAGAUAGAUAGAUAGAUAGAUAGACAGACAGAUAGAUAGAUAGAUAGAUAGACAGACAGAUAGAUAGAUAGAUAGAUAGACAGACAGAUAGAUAGAUAGAUAGAUAGAUAGACAGACAGAUAGAUAGACAGACAGACAGACAGACAGAUAGAUAGACAGACAGACAGAUAGAUAGAUAGAUAGACAGACAGAUAGAUAGAUAGACAGACAGACAGACAGAUAGAUAGAUAGAUAGAUAGAUAGAUAGAUAAUAGAUAGAUUGAGAUCACUCAUUUUAUAGUCGCGUUGUCAUUUUUUAUCGCAGCGGCUGUUUGUGUUUCUGCAGCCUGCAAAUGUUCAUUUGUGAAGAGGAGAAAAGGAAAGCAAAAGUUCUAAAAG